AACUGAUACUACCUGCGGGAACCUGCGGAGGGAUCAUCAAUGAAUUACCUGGAUGGGUUGUUGCUGGCCUCUAGAGGCAUGUGCACACCUGUCUUGACUCCAUUCAUCCACCUGUGCACUUACUGUAGUCUGGAAAAGUUUCUGAGAGUUAGAUGAAGCAGAUACUCAGUCAGAUUGACUGGAUUUGAAGAUUGCUGUCUAGCUUUCUUUUUCUUAUUAAAGUCUGUGGAUUCGCUACAA
rnacentral:misc_RNA from 1 species